rnacentral:piRNA from 1 species
ACAAGGGAGCCUGGGAAACCUUGGCAA